AUGUCCAGAAUUGUUUCGCUUCACGGUAUUCCACUGGUUAUCAGUUCGGACCGUGGCAGUUUAUUCACUUCAAGAUUCUGGGCAAGUUUCCAAGAAGCUAUGGGAACUCAUCUGUCAUUCAGUACUGCGUUUCAUCCGCAGUCGCAAGGGCAAGUUGAACGUGUCAACCAAAUUCUCGAAGACAUGCUUCGAGCUUGUGUUAUUUCCUUCGGCAAGAAAUGGGAGGAAUCUCUCCCGUAUGCUGAGUUCUCUUAUAAUAAUAGCUAUCAAGCUAGUCUGAAGAUGGCCCCCUUCGAAGUGUUAUAUGGACGAAAGUGCCGAACCCCUCUGAACUGGUCAGAAACUGGGGAACGUCCACUCUUCGGUCCGGAUAUUAUCCAACAUGCCGAAGAACAAGUCCGCAUUAUUCGUGAGAAUCUCAAGACUGCUCAGUCACGUCAGAAGAGUCAGUAUGACCGUCAUCAUAAAGACAUGGUCUAUCAACCUGGCGAAAAGGCCUAUCUUCGCGUUACACCAAUGAAGGGUGCUCACCGCUUCGGGAUCAAGGGCAAGCUAGCUCCUCGCUAUAUUGGCCCAUUCACUAUUUUGGAAAGGCGUGGAAAAGUGGCAUAUCAACUGGAGCUUCCGUCGAACCUUUCUCAGGUUCACGAUGUGUUCCACGUGUCACAACUCCGACCCUGCUUCAAGGACCCAAUCCGAGCAGUGGACCAUGAAGUGCUCGAAUUGCAACAGGACCUCUCCUAUAAAGAGCAUCCGGUCCGCAUUCUCGACCAAGCUGAACGCCGCACACGUCAGAAGGCGAUCAAGUUCCUCAAGGUCCAGUGGUCGAAUCACUCUGAAGACGAAGCCACCUGGGAACGCGAGGAUCGUCUUCGUGAUGAAUACCCCGCACUGUUUCCUUCUACCUCCUAA
rnacentral:rRNA from 1 species